GUCUUUAGUGAUGCUUAUGCAGUUUUCUCAUUCAUGCACUAUGGUCAAACUGGAAGCAUAGUUGACUUGCAGAAUUUUUCCAGUUUGGCUAUUUUAGCCUUAACUUUGAAAUUCACUUUGAAUUGCCCACAUUUCUCACUUUAGUGAAUAACCUUGAUAUUUUGCAGAGAGUAUAUUAACAAUGUAUCAACCACCCUUCUAUAGUCACUUACAGAUGGCACUCACAUAUAACAGAGACUCUUCUGCUCUAGGUUUGACAGUGUGUGUUUGAGAGGGGAC